GAAUUUUAUAUAAAUUUGUAGAAAAUUUAGUUGAAUAAUUAAUAAGUUUAUAUUUUAUUGGGAGGAUAGUUAAAUUAGAUGAACUUUAAUGGUUUUAGACAUUCAUUUAUGAGUAGGUGUUUGAAUGGUUAAUAAAUUUGAAGAGAAUUAAUUACCUUAGGGAUAACAGCGUGAUAUCUUUAGAGAGAUCUUAUUAAUAAAGAUGAUUGC
rnacentral:rRNA from 1 species